CCCCAAGGUUGCGACUAGAGGGUUGGCCAACCUAUCCUUUGAUCGUGCACUGCACGUUAAAUGGACUGAGAGCACUGCUUCAGCCACACGGUUCUGCCGUGUUAUCAAAAUCUGAACAGAACUACCUUCUGUUAAAAUCUUACAACUAGUAGCACUGGAUCCCUUGGCACGUCAUUCGAUGAAGAACGUAGCAAUCUGCGAUAAGUGGUGUGAUAUGCAAGUCCACAGCUUAUACGUGAACCAUCGAAUCUUUGAACGCACUGCACUAUCCGGACGACACCCCCGUGAUAGUAUGCCCCAUUGAGCGUUAUUUGCUUAUUCAGACAUCAGUGUGUUCACUCACUCUGAUGGAUGAGUUCGAGGUUCACAUCUGAUAGAUGCGUUCCUUAAGAUUCAUUAGCAACUGAGGUCAACCCGGUCCACAUCCUGUGAUGAUUUUGCAGGUCAAGGUUGAGGUUUGAUUGGUGCUCAUAAAUGCCUUUGGCAAACUGGCCUUGGUGCCCACACUUCGUAUAUAACCUCAGUGGGGUAGGAUUACCCGCUAGACUUAAGCAUAUUAAUCAGCGGAGGAAAAGAAACUAACAAGGAUUCCCCCAGUAACUGCGAGUGAAGAGGGAAUAGC
rnacentral:rRNA from 1 species